GAUGAACGCUAGCGGCAGGCUUAAUACAUGCAAGUCGAGGGGCAGCACGGGUAGCAAUACUUGGUGGCGACCGGCGCACGGGUGCGUAACACGUAUACAAUCUACCUAUAACAGGGGGAUAGCCUUUCGAAAGAGAGAUUAAUACCCCGUAACACACGAAACGGCAUCGUUUUUUGUUGAAAGUUCCGACGGUUAUAGAUGAGUAUGCGUCUGAUUAGCUAGUUGGUAGUGUAAUGGACUACCAAGGCGACGAUCAGUAGGGGAUCUGAGAGGACUACCCCCCACACUGGUACUGAGACACGGACCAGACUCCUACGGGAGGCAGCAGUAAGGAAUAUUGGACAAUGGUGGCAACACUGAUCCAGCCAUGCCGCGUGCAGGAAGACGGCCCUAUGGGUUGUAAACUGCUUUUGUACCAGAGAAAACCUAUCUACGUGUAGAUAGCUGAUAGUAUGGUAAGAAUAAGCAUCGGCUAACUUCGUGCCAGCCGCCGCCGUAAUAC
rnacentral:rRNA from 1 species